rnacentral:tRNA from 1 species
GCCUGGCUGGUUUAGUUGGUAGAGCAUGUGACUAGUGAUCUUAUGAUCAUGAGUUCAAACCCCGUGUUGGAUG